AGAAAAGACGGUAACUAAGAAGCAAGAGAAGGAGUAGUAAAAUGAAGGUGUCCAUAACUCUUUGAUAUCUUCGUUUGAACCAAACUUUUUCAUAAAGAGGCUGAUCAUCUUCUUGCUUGGACAUUGAGCAAAUCGCAAGAAACUAGAACAAUCUCUGCACUUUCCACAAUUUUCUGCUAAUGACAGAUGAGGCUACUCUUAAACACGUUGUGUUCAUGGAGUUCACCCAUGUUAGACUUCUCAACCCUCGAAAUUUUAAAUUUUC
rnacentral:lncRNA from 1 species